UUGGGGUCACGCCGGUCACGUGGCUGCGGCGGCUCCUUGCUCGCGCUGACCGGGCCCCGCCCCCUCCCGCAGCGGCAGAGCCCGGCGCCGCCGCCUGAGGCCCCCGCUGCGAACUGCCCGGGGGGGGGAUGGGACCCGCCGGGGUCGCGGCUCCGCCCGGGCUCAGCGCCCGAGGAGUCGGGCCCGGGAGCGGCGGCGGCUGGUGCUCAGUGGGUCAGAUCAGCAGCGGCUGACCUGUGUUCACAUUCUGCAUUUGUCCGACAUCCGAACUAUGAUGCUGAUGGGUGCUAUGGAAACCUCUAAGUGAGAUCAGUUGGUCCGUCUUGGCCAGCAUGCUGCACUCAUCUCUGCGGUACUGGAGUGCACACAGCUGAUGGCAUCAUUGGCCCAGGUGAUUUCCUGCCUUUGUGCCUAUGUUCGAGGGGAAGCAAUCUGGGAUUUGGGCCUGGGCAGGUUGAUGAGAGGGAAACCGGCUUUCAGAUGUGUCAUUAUUCAUUAUUCCAGCUAAGCAUGGGGGGGGUUAUGGGACUGGAAGCCAUUCACCCUGAACUUCCCCACAGUCUUCUACCCAUGUGGGCUUCCUGAACAGGAGGUACUCAUCUAUACGAGGGUCUGGUCCACUGUUACCCACCAAAGAAUGACACUGUUAGCUAUUUCUUCUGGCUUCUUGGCUUCCAUUCAGCUGGUACUGAAUUCUGCAGGCAGAAGGAUAACCUGGACUGAGUUCUUCUGCUGGCUUCUCUUUUGACAGCAUGCUGAUCUCAUGGUCUUGUUAACUGGCAUUAAGACUUCAGAGAGCUUCUCACAGUUACUUGAGUGAGUGAUGCAUGGGUCUCCUGUGGUCCCAUAGGCUCUAGUAAAACAUUGUGUGUGUGUGUGGUGGGGGGGUGCUCCUUGUUCACUUCACUUCCUACUUGGGGCUUUCUCUCUUCUGUGCUCCUACUCCAUGGAGGGAAGCGCACUCAGACUGGUCCCCGUUGCACUGUCCCUGUGAGAGGCCAACGUUGCCCUUCUGAUGGGGGCAGCAGUCAGUUUACCGAAGAGCAUGAGGGGAGUAAGCCCCGGCUUUGUGCUGUAGCUGCUCCACUACCUGGAGCUCUUUGGCUGGGGCAGUAAGCCUAUGAAUCAGCCCUGCGACUCCUGCGGACGGGAGGGGAAGCCAGCCUGUUUCUUGGCAGAUGCCAAGUGCCCACCAGAGGGCAGAAGAGUAACUUCCACUGUGCUAUCAGCAAAUUACAUUUGCAUCUCUUAUCUGGCUUUUAUUCAGGCUAAUUAAAUACAUCACUGAAAGGUUUAUGCCCCCAUCGAUCUCUAUGGGACAGCUGAGCUGAAAGUAAUUUCUGGGCUGGAAUGAGGCACGAGUGAUUGGAUCAGGCCCUGCACAUUACUCUGUGAAUCCCAUGGCACUGAGAGCUCAGUCUUGCUGGAGGCCCCUGGGGAGCAGGGAUCUCAUCUGCCUUUCUUUUCUAUAAAGCAGCCCUCAGACCUGUGACAUCACCAUAACAACACAGUGUGUCCUCAAAAAGAACAGGAGGACUUGUGGCAGCUUAGAGACUAACAAAUUUAUUAGAGCAUAAGCUUUCGUGGGCUACAGCCCACUUCUUCGGAUGCAUCUCUAAGGUGCCACAAGUACUCCUGUUCUUUUUGCGGAUACAGACUAACACGGCUGCUACUCUGAAACAGUGUGUCCUGCCUGUGGUGGCGAAAGCAGCCUCUCUGGGGUGGGAUGUGAGGGGCUCCCUUGACAGGUGACUGCCCCUUGCAAUGAAUGCUCUGUGUAAUAGGCGUACAAUCUCACAGCUCUAUCCUGACAGUCCUCAAACCACAGUCUGUGCCUAGAGCCUGGAGCACGACACCAGCUCAGUCUUCCUGCAGCCGGCGGGUGACAGCUUGGAGCUGGAGAUUAGAUUGGGGUGGAACAGAAGCAUGAACUGCUCCCUGGGCGGGGAACUGGACAUCAAAUGAUGCAAACUAAUUUAGUUCCUCUUGCAUGGCCCUCUGCCCAGCUGCUUUAAGGGGUCAGUUGGGGAUUCCCCGGGUGGAGGGGAUGUCCCAGGGCUGGAAGGGAGAUGGUAGGAGCAGGCCGUAUGUUGGUAUUCCCCAGCUGGUGGAACAGGCCGGAGGGACUUAUUCAUGUAGUCCACCCCAUAGGCUUCUCUAAGUCACCUUUUGCUCCCCAUCUCCUUUGGCCCUUGGUGUGAUUUAGAGACCCUUACCCUCCACCAACCUAAGGGCCAUAGCUUGGCUGGACAUGGGGGCCUGGCCCCCUUCUAAAAUGUUGUGUGCUUGCAGGUAAACUAAUGGCAUUUUCAAGCCAGGCAUAGUUCAGCCUCCUGUCCCUGCCUUUCCCUAGCUCUGCUAAUGCACCUCCCUCCUGAUCUUCAAUACCCCCUGCUGUUCCAGACCUGGGCCCCCAAAAUUAUUUGAGAGCUGGGAAACGUGCCUUAAAGUGAGAGACUUAAAGAGCUCAAUCUGUUUAGCUUAUCAAGAAGAUCAAGGGAGAACUUGAUCAUGUCUAUAAGUACUUCGCAGAGCAAAGAUGGGUUAACGAGCUCUUCAGGACAUAGUGGGGAAAGGCAGAACAAGAACCAAUGGCUGGAAGUUAGAGCCUGACAAAUUCAGAUGAGAAAUAAGAAACAUGUUUAACAUGCAGGUGAUUAACCAUGGGACAGAUUUCCAAGGGAAGUGGUGGGUUCUCCAUCUCUUGAUGUCUUCAGAUCCAAACUGGAGCCAGUGGCAGACGCUUUAGACAUACACAAGUUAUUGGUCCAGUACAGGGGUAAGGAGGUUCUCUGGCCUGUGGGAUGCAGCAGGUCAGACGAGACAAUCUCAUGGUCCCAUCUGGCCUUCAACUCUGAAUCUCGGCUUCAGUGAGCAGAGGCUGACAGCUGUGCUGACAAGCGAGGUGGCUUUAUAAAUGGAGAGGCUGAAACUACCCCAGUAGCAUACCUGUCACGGAGUGUGGGGGGACACAAGGCCCUGCACCCCCGGUUUCCUGCGAUUCACCAUGACUCUCAGCCAGCCAGUAAAGCAGAACGUUUGUUUAGAUGACAGGAACACAGUCCAAGACAGGUCUUGCAGGCACAGAAAACAGGACCCUCUCAGUUAGGUCCAUCUUGGGGUCCCAAGGGCACCACAGCCCCGUUGGGGAGUCAGAGCCCCGUCCGGGCUCCCCUCCAUUACCAGCCAGCUCCUCAAAAACUCCAACUCCCUCCAGCCUCUCUCACCCAGCCUCCCCGGCUCCUCCCCCAGCCUUUGUCCAGUUUCCUGGGCAGAGGUGUCACCUGGCUCCAACCCCCUUCCUGGGUUCUCACGUUACAUGCUCAGGUAUCUUCCCUCAAGGCCAGUCUCCCAUCCCCCAAUGCAGACUGUCCAAGCCAAACUCCCCACUCAGCAGUCAAAGACCACUCAGCAGUCAAAGAACACAUUAAGAACAGUCCCAGUUCAUCACAGUCCCCGUGGUGUAAUCUGGCUCUGACCCAGUCUCAGAAUAGUGCUGAGUGCAGUGUGGUUCCUCUAACACUCUGAGCUGUGUGAGUUGUCACUGACUGCUCACUAGGCUAUGAGUGUUGUAACCAGUGAUGUUUGUUCCUCGUUUUUAAAACAACAACAGAAAAACCCUGAUUAAGGAGAAGUGGAUUAAUGCCCUGCAGCUACAUAAACAAGGCUUAUAUUUAUAUUCCACCUGGGAAGAGGGCGGUUGCAUCAGCACAUUUUUUUUUAAAUGUUGAGCAAAACAACCAUUGCUCCAGGAAAUGGGUUUUUCCUCACACCACAUUGCUUCACUCAGCUGCUUCACCACUCGGCCCCUUCCCAGCAGCAGAGACCACCUCCCAGAAGGGCAUGCCAGGACUGCUUCCCAGGGAUUGUUCCUAUAUUGCUCGGUAAGCAAGCUGGGCCCCCCCCAUCUUGGGCACUGUUUCUCGGUGCCCCUGCUGUGAAUCAUGCCCAAGGGCCGUCUCCUACAGCUUCAGAGAGAUUGUGCCCACGUGAUGUAAUUGCACUCAUCUGGGAUUUGUGUGCACGGGGCUGGUGCAAAGACAGGGAAUGUCAUAGCUGCCACCUCUUCCCCUGGCCAGUGAGGCUGUGGCAUAGGAUGGCACGCAUGAGGUAGGUGCUGUGUUGCAGGAGUUCCCCACUUGAGGAGGACGGAGUAGGAGCUCAGGGUGGAGAACUGCCCAGCAGGACCUACGGAGCUGCACUACGGACUGUAACCGUGAAAGUAUUUGAGGAGGAAAGAUGCAUCCAAAGAGGUGCUCAGGGAGCCCCAAAAUGUGACUCCCGGGCCUUAACUACUGAGGCUGAAGGCAGUAGCAGACAGCACCCAGGGACCAAGGAAGUGAGCGAGGGCCCCUGGUGCGUGCGCUCUGACCGGCCUGCCUACACAUAACCUUGCCCCUGUGCUUCGACACCAGCCAUGCUGCAGCACAGUUUGGGAAUGGCUGUGGGUGCCAGGCUGUGCUGUAAGCCACCUGCCUGGGAGACUGGCUGGUCAGUCCCUCUUGCUGGCCCGGAAGCCAAGGCCCUUUCAGGCGGCACUCAGGGUUAAAAGUGCUAACAGCAGCAUGGCCCGGCCCCUUUCCACACAGGGAACUGCUCUUCUGGCUGCUUUUUUCCCUAGACUUUGUUCUUGUGGCUUCCUUCCCAGGACCUGAGACCUCGGAGCCGCUGCUCCAGCCCAUCGGAUUCAGCCCCUCGUGGGGUUGCUGAUUCAUCAGCAUUGGUUAGCUCAGGAAAGGGGGGAAAUCAGCAGAUUACUGAAAAAUAAGUAAAAACAAGAAGGGGGAGACUUGCUGUGUGAAAGGAGUCACCAGUACAGAAGUUUGAGAGCCGCUGAAGGUGUGAUGUUGGCGCUGCUGCAGGUUUUAAUCGCUAGUUGAAUGUGCUUAAGGCAAGGUGCCUUGUCUGUUCUAGACUUUUUAACCAUGUUAGCUUCAUGUCUGGUGUGGAGAUGUGCAGCUCCAACCUCUUCCCCUGCCCCUCCCAAAGGGGCAUGUGACAGUUCUCUGCCCAGCUCUCAAAUUUCUAGGCCCCUGCAAAUGGCCUUGGUGGCAUUCCCAGAAUCUGCACAGUGUGGUGUGUAUGCCGCCUUGCUGAUCGUUAGUGCAAGACUGGCUCUGCACACCCCUGCGGUUUCCAGUCGCUGCCUCCCUGGUUCGAUUCUCGGCCGUUUACUGAUGGGCUCACAGCCACUGUUAGUCCAUAUGGCCUUGUUUGUAUCCAAGCCAGUCUGAAUUAAUUUUGCAGCUGAGAAUUUGAGCCAUUGUGUCAAAUGUUUUGUUGAAAUCCAUGUAUGUUGUAUCUACCGUUUCCCUUCCUCCACUGCUUUUGUACUUUUAGAUUAAAAAAUACAACACAUCA